GCGGAGGGGAACCACGCGUACCCAUCCCGAACACGACCGUUAAGCCCUCCAGCGCCGAUGGUACUUGGACCGCAGGGUCCUGGGAGAGUAGGACGUUGCCAAGC
rnacentral:rRNA from 1 species